rnacentral:RNase_P_RNA from 1 species
CGGAAGGGACGCUGGUCGCUGGAGAACCUGGAACAAGGGUUUUCCAGAGGAAAGUCCGGGCUCCUUCGGAAAGAAUGCCGGUUAACGGCCGGGCAGCGGAGACGAUGAGUCUUUCGUUGACAGAAAGUGCAGCAGAAAAUAUACCGCCCUCGAUUAUUCGGGGGUAAGGGUGAAAUGGCGGGGUAAGAGCCCACCGCGCUUUUGGUGACAAAGGCGGCAAUGCAAACCUCAUUCGGAGCAAGGCCAAACAGCGGACGUAUUUUCCGGUUCUGCGUUCCGGUAACGGAGUGCAGACGUUUGCGGGUAGGCUGCUGGAGAUACGGGGUAAUCCGUAUCCGAGAUAGAUGACCAGGAUGAAAGGCAAGGGCAUAACGUUUUUGUCUUUCAUUUACAGAACCCGGCUUAUUGUUCCUUUCGCUCU